UACGUAGGGGGCAAGCGUUGUCCGGAAUCAUUGGGCGUAAAGAGCGCGUAGGCGGCCCUGUAAGUCCGCUGUGAAAGUCAAGGGCUCAACCCUUGAAUGCCGGUGGAUACUGCAGGGCUAGAGUCCGGAAGAGGCGAGUGGAAUUCCUGGUGUAGCGGUGAAAUGCGCAGAUAUCAGGAGGAACACCGAUGGCGAAGGCAGGUCUCUGGGCCACUACUGACGCUGAGACGCGAAAGCGUGGGGAGCAAACAGG
rnacentral:rRNA from 1 species